CGCCUUUACUCCGCUUCAGGCUUUGUGCCAGAACCAGAGGGGCUGAUAGUGAGCGACUGGGGCAGGCGAGGGCG
ensembl:miRNA